AUGAGUGCCCACACCUCCCUGGCUUGCUCCACUUUUCCUGUUGCUUGCUUAAGCAGGCUCUGCUGUAAUAACAAAAAUAUUUGUAUCGAUUUGUUUUUAAAUUCUAACCUUUUAUUUUUGUUUACAUGCUCUACCAACCUUCCAUUUAUUUAUUUAUUUUUUAGUUUUUUAAUCCUGGCCAGCAGCAGACUGGAGAUGGAAACGACCACCUGCUCAGCAAAGGCUCAAUUACAUACAUACAGUUUUUACAGAUGUCCUGUCCUUAAGGGUGAGAUACCCAGGCACAGAACACAGCAUUUCUGUACCCCUAUGUGCAACCACCUGCCUGAAAAGAAGCCUUAA
rnacentral:lncRNA from 1 species